CCCACAAGAGCGUCUCCUGUCUCAUUGGGGAGCUGCACCGGUCAACUGGUGGCCUGUACAGGGAGCGCUGAGACCCUCUCUCCCAGAACGCUGAGACCCUCUCUCUGACAGUACAGGGAACGAGACUCUCCUACGGAACAGAGAUGUUAACAGCUCAUAUUUAUUGAAAGAACACACAGAGGAAAGAAAUUGUUCUUAAAGGAUCUACGCUUUAAAAAGGUGUAUUUGCUCCAGAUGUAACUAGAUUUCUUCACUUCUUUCUGCAAAUUUUGAAGCUUUCCUUGCUGGGUAAAGAUUUAUCUUCCUGCCACUUUUCAUGUUGAGAAUUGGUACCAUCACUUCUGAGGAUGCUCAGAGCUUACCAACACAGAGAGUCUUUUUUCUUCAAGAAAUUCUGUGGCAAUGACCAGGUCCUCUCAGAACUCUAGGAAGAUGCCCAUGAACAGUCACCAAUGAAAUGACUGCCACCCUCACGUUCUUGGCAAGCUGCUAUGCUUUGUGGCCUGAAAUAAACAGGCUUUGUUUUUUUCAGUACCAGGAAUUGAACUCAGGACCUUGUGCUUGCCAGACAGGCACUGUGCCACUGAGCUGUAUCCCUAGCCCCUGAAAUAAACUGGAACUAGCUAAUACCAGUCUA